CAUGAGCCGAAGAUGGCGCCCGUGAGCUCCUGUGCGAUGACUCUGCAAGGAGAGUUACCGAUGAAUAUGAAAGCAAAUGUCAUGUCCAAACAAAAACCAACAGAAGAAAGAAGACAUCUUCGUAGCAAAUAUGAAACUGACUUGUGCAUAGAUAUUGAUUUUUUAUAGACUGAAGUUUGAAUUUCACAUUCCAACAUCACCAAAGCACAGGUAAAUUCACUUUACUAAAGCCAGGGUCCUUCCUUAAUUCCCAGUAAGUGUCAUUGGAAAUCCACAUCUCUUUCUGAUGGUUAUCGAUUACCUUCCUGGAAGAGAACAAAAAGAGCAACAUUCAUUUGAGAGAUUUUAACAGCACUUCUGAACCCCCAGACCCAACUCACUUUACAUGCCAGGUACUUGCUGCAGGUUAUUAUUUAUUAUGUACCAGUGACAACAAACUGAACCUCUGGCUACUAUAUUGUGAUAGUAAAAAUUAAAUGUCAUUCCCAGAAAAUCAGCCCUGGGAAUAGCACAUAGUUUUUAAAAAUGCACACUAAAGUUGAGCAUAGCCGAGAACUGAAUUAGAGGGAACUUUGUUGCCAGGGCCACUAUAACAAAUUAAGAGCAAUGUAAUACCCUUUAUUCUGCCUGUAGCUGCCCAUUUAAACCCUUAUACCACAUAACUUACCCAUUUCAAUGCCAUCAGCAGAGAAUCCAUCAACACACCAAUUUAUAUAAUCUACUUAUGUCAAUACGUCUUCCGCUGACAUCACCAACCCACCGCUACAUCAGGAGCAACCCUCCCUUCUUCAUUCUAAAAUGUGGCUGCAUGAAAGCAAACCCCAACAACAAUGAACCUUACAAGAAGAGCAAAAGCUGUAAGAGCAGCAAAUAAAAUACAUAUGCUAUAUGAAUACCCUUGGUUUUGGAAUUAGGGUUUCAGGUGCCGGAUUCUGCACUGAAUAAAUGCUUGAUGUGUAUGGCAUGCAAUGCAAUCUACCCAAUCAUGUGUAUGGGAUUACAUGGGUGCAUGCUGAGGACAAUAGGGGACCUAAGGACUCUAAAUGUCCCAUUGUGUAAUUUCUGUUACAUUGUAGUUAGGCUUGCUGAUCUAUAAUCCACCAGUAAUUGAAAUAUGUGUCAAAAUUAAAUAUCAAUCUUCCCCUUC